rnacentral:tRNA from 1 species
GCACCUGUAGCUCAGUUGGUUAGAGCGCAUCCUUGACAUGGAUGAGGUCCCAGAUUCGAGUUCUGGCAGGUGCA